rnacentral:rRNA from 1 species
GCAUAACGCGAAGAACCUUACCAGGUCUUGACAUCCUCUGACAACUCUAGAGAUAGAGCGUUCCCUUCGGGGGACAGAGUGACAGGUGGUGCAUGGUUGUCGUCAGCUCGUGUCGUGAGAUGUUGGGUUAAGUCCCGCAACGAGCGCAACCCUUGAUCUUAGUUGCCAGCAUUUAGUUGGGCACUCUAAGGUGACUGCCGGUGACAAACCGGAGGAAGGUGGGGAUGACGUCAAAUCAUCAUGCCCCUUAUGACCUGGGCUACACACGUGCUACAAUGGAUGGUACAAAGGGCUGCAAGACCGCGAGGUCAAGCCAAUCCCAUAAAACCAUUCUCAGUUCGGAUUGUAGGCUGCAACUCGCCUACAUGAAGCUGGAAUCGCUAGUAAUCGCGGAUCAGCAUGCCGCGGUGAAUACGUUCCGGGUCUUGUACACACCG